rnacentral:misc_RNA from 1 species
CCAGGAACUUUGACGCAAUUUGCAAAUGGCCGUGAAAAGGACUGAACUCGAGAAUCGAGGGUGUAUGAAAGGCUAAUGGUGGAUUGUACCGUGAUAAAAACUUGUGUAUAAUUCUAUAUUCAGUGUGGUGCUGUGCAAGAUACAAAAUGUGCCAAAAAGUGAGAAUCCAGUCUUAAUGUUGGUAUAGGACGCGCCCGAAAACCGCUGGAGCGACGAUCGAAGGGACAUUGCUGACAGAAGGAGGUCGUAGCGUAGCGCAUUAUCGGACGCGCGCGCGGUUGUCGAGCGGUCGUACAUUAAGAGGCCAGUGGCUAAGCACCCACCAUGAAUGAAUUGGACAGCCUGCGACAGGAGGCGGAGACGCUCAAGAAUGCUAUCAGAGAUGCUAGGAAGGCGGCAUGCGACACGUCGCUGGCGCAGGCGACCGCCAACCUGGAGCCCAUCGGGCGCAUACAGAUGCGCACGCGACGCACGCUGCGCGGUCACCUCGCCAAGAUCUACGCCAUGCAUUGGGGCAGCGAUUCCAGGAACCUGGUAUCGGCGAGUCAGGACGGCAAGCUGAUAGUGUGGGACAGCCACACCACGAACAAGGUGCACGCGAUACCGCUGCGCUCCAGCUGGGUGAUGACGUGCGCGUACGCACCCUCCGGCUCGUACGUCGCGUGCGGCGGUCUAGACAAUAUAUGCUCCAUUUAUAGUUUGAAGACGCGCGAGGGCAACGUGCGCGUGUCCCGCGAGCUGCCGGGCCACUCGGGCUACCUCUCCUGCUGCCGGUUCCUCGACGACAACCAGAUCCUCACCAGCUCCGGCGAUAUGACAUGCGCCCUGUGGGACAUCGAGACGGGCCAGCAGUGCGGGCAGUUCACGGGGCACACGGGCGACGUGAUGUCGCUGUCGCUGGCGCCCGACCAGCGCACCUUCGUGUCGGGCGCCUGCGACGCGUCCGCCAAGCUGUGGGACAUCCGCGACUGCGCCUGCAAGCAGACCUUCCCCGGCCACGAGAGCGACAUCAAUGCCGUCACGUUCUUCCCAUCCGGGUUCGCGUUCGCGACGGGGUCGGACGACGCGACGUGCCGCAUGUUCGACAUCCGCGCCGACCAGGAGCUCGCCAUGUACUCGCACGACAACAUCAUCUGCGGCAUCACGUCCGUCGCCUUCAGCAAGUCCGGCCGCCUGCUGCUGGCCGGCUACGACGACUUCAACUGCAAUGUGUGGGACUCUAUGAAGAGUGAACGCGCUGGUAUCCUGGCCGGCCACGACAACCGCGUAUCAUGCCUGGGCGUCACCGAGAACGGCAUGGCCGUCGCCACCGGCUCCUGGGACUCGUUCCUGCGCAUCUGGAACUAAGCCCCCCCCCCACCUGCCCCACCCCGGACACCCCGCUCCACCCCACCACUCGUCUACUCACUCACUUGCUAUACUAUUCACCUACGAUGACGUAACGCGUUCUAGAAGCUUAUAGAUGCUUCCAGAACGUGUGACGGCAUCGUCGCCGUCGGUAGCGAGUGGAUGGUCAUAACUUGAAUGAAUUUCUCGAUGGUUAGCCCCAGUUUAGCCGGUGAUGUCAGUUUCUAGUUUUAUAUAUUCGAUAUCAAAUGCGGUGUGUGAAUGUGUUAGCUUCUAAUUUUGAUAUCGUAACGCUGACGAUGGUCUGUAUUUCCUCGUUCGGUUCGGCCAUCGCAGGCAUUGAGGAGGCUCAAUGAUUAACGAAAUUCGAUUUUGUGAGACCUCAAGAACUUUGGUCUUUAUUGUAAAGGGGCGGCUGUAACGGUUUAUUUACUAAACUCUACACCUGUAUAAAGACUUGUCCAGUCAUCUUGUAGUUUAUUAUCAUUAAACAAUAAUUUCUGAUCUGAUGCACAGAGGACUUCGUGUAUAUAAUGUCGUAUUGUGUUGUUACACUGGAAGGCACAAUGUACAGCGCAGUAUGUUCGUACAUUACAGCGCACAAAACAACGCACAUGCUUCGAAACUGCGCAAAUACACAAUACAAUACGACUCGGCCGCGUCUCACGGGAACAAACCCGUACAAAAAACUCGCUUUAUUUAUUUAUAAUUAUAAUUUCUAACAAUAUUAAAAGCAUUUAAACAACUUUUAGGGAGGUAUGUAGUUUACAUUUGUAUGUAUGUGUGCGUUAGAUGUGCGAGUGUGUGAGCGUCACUACGGAUCCAUUGUUCACUGCAUAACGUAUAUAAUUAUAAUAUAAUGUAAUGAUUGAUAUAUAAUUAACGAUAGACGCUGGACACCUUUCCAAGGAGGGGUUCUUAGCUGCCGGAAACAUUUUCUGUUUAUUGGUGACAACAUCGCACAACAGAAUACUAUCUAUAAAAAACUAUAAUUAAAGAACCAAAUAUUAAUUAUAAAUGUAUCUAUGCAUAACUUAUUGAAUGAGAACAUUAUUUUCGUUUCUCGUCACUUUAAUGUAAUCCUAUCGUGGGUGAGCUAUAUAUUUAAUAUAUGUUUUAGAUUAGUCAACACACCGGUUUGUUAUUAGUAAAGCGAGAUUCUAAUGAUCUCUAUUGACGAAAAUCAAUCAUUUUUUGUACCAACGUAAGGGCGUUAGUACAUGAGCGUAACAAGACGCACUACAUCGCGAAAUUACUUACUCUCAUGUGCAAACGCCUUUACAAGACAUUCACGAAUUGUAAAAUGAGAUCUAAAUCUUAAUCUAGGCUUUAAGCGUACAAUUACAAUGAUUUAUACUUUGACAUGCAAUAUAAUUUAUCUAUAUCCAA